rnacentral:rRNA from 1 species
AACGAACGCUGGCGGCAUGCCUAACACAUGCAAGUCGAACGAGACCUUCGGGUCUAGUGGCGCACGGGUGCGUAACGCGUGGGAACCUGCCCUCAGGUUCGGAAUAACUCCCCGAAAGGGGUGCUAAUACCGGAUAAUGUCUUCGGACCAAAGAUUUAUCGCCUUUGGAUGGGCCCGCGUUGGAUUAGCUAGUUGGUAGGGUAAAAGCCUACCAAGGCGACGAUCCAUAGCUGGUCUGAGAGGAUGAUCAGCCACACUGGGACUGAGACACGGCCCAGACUCCUACGGGAUGCAGCAGUGGGGAAUAUUGGACAAUGGGCGAAAGCCUGAUCCAGCAAUGCCGCGUGAGUGAUGAAGGCCUUAGGGUUGUAAAGCUCUUUUACCCGGGAUGAUAAUGACAGUACCGGGAGAAUAAGCCCCGGCUAACUCCGUG